CCCCUGCUGCCCUGAGCUCGCUUGAGCCAACGGGCUCGCUCUACAGCCGGCGGCUUGUCCUGCGCCUUGCGCGCUUGGGAAGGGAAAGGAAAUUUGCACUCAGCCCCUUGCCUCGGGCCUCCAUUGUUGCCCCCGCCGGAGGAGGCCGCGCAGGGCCCGGGGCCCUGCAUGGCGGGAGGGGCCCCUGCUGAAACGACCCCGCGCAGAGGGCAAAGAGCGUCUGGAAUCCCCCACGCGUCUGUACGCGCCAGAACGCCGCCCGGCCCAGCUUUCCAGCAGAGGGGAGGAAAAAUGAACAGUAGAUUCCAUAGUGAUCACCUCGUCUGACCCCCAGAGACCUGCCCCGAGUCACUCCUAGGGCAGAUCCCUUAGAAAACCAGCCCGUCUCGGUCUAAAGCUUGUCAGUGAUGGAGAACCCGCCACAACCCUCGGCCAGUUGUUCCAGUGGUUAAUUACCCUCCGUGUUCCCCAUCUACACCUUCUUUCCAGUCUGAAUUUGUCUAGCUUCAACUUCCAGCCACUGGGUUGUGUUAUACAUGUGUCUGCUAGACUGAGAAGCCCAUUAUUCAAUAUUUGUUCCCCUGGUUGGUACUUGUAGACUGUGCUCUGGUCACCCCUUGUUAAGCUAAAUCGAUGGAGCUCUUUGAGUCUCUCACUCUAAGGCAGGUUUUCCAACCCUUUGAUCAUUCUCGUGACUCUUCUCUGACCCCUCUCGAAUUUAUCAACCUCCUUCCUGAACUGUGGGCCCCAGAACCGGACACGGGAUUCCAGCAGCGUCGCACCAGUGCCCAAUCCAGAGGUAAAAUCACCUCCCUGCUCCUCCUCGAGAUUCCCCUCUUUAUCCCAGGAUCACGUCAGCCCUUUUGGCCACAGCGUCACACUGGAAGCUCCUGUUCCACUGAUCAGCCGCCAGGACCCCCGAAUCUUUUCGGUGUCACUGCUUCGCAGGAGCGAGUCCACCCGUGGGCGUAUGGCCGGCGUUCUUUCUUCCUAGGUGAAAACCUUCACAUCUCGCCGUAUUCAAAUGCAUAAUGUUUGCUUGUUCCCAGCUUAAAGAAGAAAGAUUUAUUUACUGGCAAGCCCCACCAGCCAUAAUGCCGAUGAAUUUUUUUUUUCACCCUGUGUCUCAGACUCUUGCAUUCACUUACUGCACUGAACCCAGACGUGUGAAACUCACUCCCCUCAGAUCUGUCAGUCCGUCCCUCCCCCGCUUCUCCAUGUCACGUGGUGUUUGUAAUAUCCUCCCCACGGGCCCCGGAUCGCUGCUUGGCCCCCUGCUUGGUCCUGCAAACGAGCUCUUCGAUUCGGUCUGUUCGGUUUGCGCUGGAAGGCGGUGACAUCUGUCUGUCUGACCCAGCACUAGGGAUCCUGUCACCGUGACGGCUCAGUGACAGCAGUUGUGUUUGAUUACGGGGCCCUGCGCACUUGGGAUUUAACCCAAAGCCCUUGGAAAGACUCCCGUUGAUUUCAGGCCCUUCUGCUGUACCACUGAAGCCAAGAGGAUAUUUGUGUGAACGCAGCCGCCGGAUCGGGCCUGGCAGGCGUGCGCGUUUGCCAAUGAUGCCUCCGCGGGCAGCUCUGGAGGACAUAAUUAUUGUUGCUGUUUUAUGGAUUUAUUGGAUAUGGUCCUUCCAGGCAACUUUUCCUCCCUGAAUACUCGUUAGUGUGUAAUUACGUUUAUUACGGUAGCACUUGGGGCCAGCGAAGAUCAACCCUCCACUGAGCUAGGCACAGUACAAACAUAGAAGUAGGUCUGGUCUACACUACAGAUUUAUAUUGGUAUAAUUACGUCGCUCGGGGGUGUGAAAAACCCACACCCUAGAGCGAGGAAGUUACACCGACCUAACCCCCAUGCAGACAGUGCGGGGUGAGCGGGAGAACUUCUCCUACCCACACCUGGGGGGGUGGUUAACUGCCCCAAUGGGAGAGCUUUCUCCUGGUGUAGCAGCUACAUUGGAGCAGCCGCACCGCUAGGUAGCCCUGCCCUCAGAUCCAGGCCUCGCGCCAACGAAGGGCCACACUCGAUGGACGAUACAGAGACGGUGAAAAGGGGGAUGUAACACACAAACCGAGGGCUGAUUUGCAGACAGACCUCAUGAGACAAGAGGGAAGGGUGGACUGGGGGUUUAAAGGGGACCUGUGAAGAAUUGUAAAACGCCGUCAUGGUUUAUUCCCCAAAGGCGCUGGGAGGUUUCAUUAUUGUUGUAUAUAAUUUCCCCUCCUGCUUGUUUCUUAAUGUGUAGGAAUCUCACGUGGACUCUCCCCGCGUUGUGCUAGAGGAUUGACUGGCGGUUUGCAGGGGUUGUGAGGUCGCACGCCUUAAAUACACGGGCUGGAGGGGUAAAUGUAACAGCUGCCCUUUCUCCCAUGCGUUCAUUGGGCAUCAGAAUGAAGCAGGUUGAAACAGUCUGAUUAGAGCAAUAUCGUGGGAGUCACUAGGUGGCACCAUAACAUGUCCUCUCACACCUUCGCUUUCUCCGCCCGUGAGCCGUCUUUGAAGGAAUGCUGCAUUGGUGUGAGUUUGUGAUUUCAACUCCUUUUGGAGGCAGCGGUGGCGAGCAGUAAGGCAGUUGCCCCUUUGACUGAGUCUAACUAGAGUCAGUUCUGGGGGAAGCUGCUCCCUGGGACCGGGCACCAGUGGAGGGGCUGAAAUCCCUGCAAGAGGAAUUUGGCUGUGUAUCCUUUGUGACCACCUCUGUUCCAGGACUGGUUCAGGCGGUGUUUAAAACACAAACAAAAAACAAGUUUUGGUUUCGCUGAUUCCUCUUCCCAUGAGAAGCCAGCCAGCAAGGCCUCAGCAGAUGGACGACAAUAAUAAAAAUCUCAUCCCAUUCCAGUUGCUCAGAAUCUAAAUAGACGGAGGAGUGAGGAGGGGAAACUGAGGCAGAGACGGAGAAGUGACUGGCCCAAGUCACCCAGUAGGUUAAUGGCAGAGAUGGGGGUAUUGUCAGGAUCUCUUGAGCCCUAGGGUAGUGCCCAAUUCACUGGACCAUUCCCUAUACUUAGUUACUGUAAUACUUGUGAUACUGACUUCCUUUGUAAAGCGUUUUUAGAUCUGCUGAUAAAACACUAAAUA